ACCCGGUUCGUUCAAUGGUAGGACAGCAGUUUCUGGCACUGCUUAUCGAGGUUCGAAUCCUUGACCGGGUG
rnacentral:tRNA from 1 species